AGCAGCCGCGGUAAUUCCAGCUCCAAUAGCGUAUAUUAAAGUUGUUGCAGUUAAAAAGCUCGUAGUUGAAUUUCGGGAUCAAUAUUUCGGUCAUGCCGUUGGUAUGCACUGUUAUCAUUGAUUUCUCACCUUCUAAAGAACCGUAAUGCCAUUAAUUUGGUGUUACGGGGGAUUAGGACUGUUACCUUGAAAAAUUAGAGUGUUUAAAGCAGGCUCACGCUUGAAUACAUUAGCAUGGAAUAAUGAAAUAGGACAUCCGAUUCUAUUUUGUUGGUUUCUAGGAUCGAUGUAAUGAUUAAUAGGGAUAGUUGGGGGCAUUAGUAUUCAAUUGUCAGAGGUGAAAUUCUUGGAUUUAUUGAAGACUAACUACUGCGAAAGCAUUUGCCAAGGAUAGU
rnacentral:rRNA from 1 species